ACAGAUGCGACUUGCAAGGGUCAAAAUCUUUAAAUUAUGAUCUUUGUGUGCAUGCGAUUAUCUUUAGCCGAUGAAAUGUCCAAACAACUCCAACUGCUUCCUAAGAUGAUAACACGGACGAUAAAGGAAUGAAGAGUAUGCCUGCUUCACUACGAUUGACAAAACUUGCACAUCUACUACUUUCAAGCUGGUGAAAGCACGACUCAAGGUGUAAGCUAAGAAAGAAGAUGGUAAUUUCCGGCCACAAGUGUCAAAAUCUUGAAAUUAGAGUCGAAGAGAAAUAUACGUCUCCUUGCGGUAAACCAGAAUACAGCACGGCAUUUUGCUUCAUAUACGUGUUAUUAAAAAAACAACAACAGUUUAAAGCCAAAGGAACCCAAUCUAACAAAUUGUGUCAGUCGUUGGACAUUCUAAAUCAUGAUCUGAUAUAUCGUUUGGAAAUUCUCCCCUUUGCUGAUGAAAUACCUUCUAUCAUUUAAUGGAUAUUUAAGUAGAACAGACGGAACAGAACAGAACAGAACGGACCAGAACAGAACUCUCAGUCAUCAUUUACAUCUCUGUAAACGGCAUCGACAUUGCCAUUUAAUUUAUCAUAUACGAUUUAUAACUGGUAUUCUGCGGAUUCUGGACUUAAUGCUCCGUAAUUGAUACAUUGACAUUUUUUUGACAAAAUAUUGAUAAAUCAGUUGAUAGACCGAUAUCGAAGUUGGAUUUUGCUGUUAUCCGAAUUCAGAAAGCAGCUUAAUACAAUAAGUACAAUGAUUAUCAAGAUUUAUAAAAAAUGUUUCACCUAGAGUUAUUUUGACAUAGGAAAUUCUACUCGUCUGACAAACUGGAAGUAAAGGCAUGACGUCAUUUAACCGGAAAUAUAACACAAAACCUGGACUCGGCAUAUGGAUUCUCCUUUUCGUUUGCCUAAUUUUCUUAAAAUAUCUAUGGGUUUGAAAACUUAAAAUUUUCUCAAUUUGAGCAAAA
rnacentral:lncRNA from 1 species